CCCUUAGAUGGUCUGGGCGGCACGCGCGCUACAAUGAUGCAUUCAAAAAGUCUUCUGACCUUAGAAGGUUGGGUAUUCUCCAAAGUGCAUCGUGAUGGGAAUAGUUUAUUGCAAUUUUUAAUCUUGAACGAGGAAUUCCUAGUAAGUACAGGUCAUCAACUUGUGUUGAUUACGUCCCUGCCCUUUGUACACACCGCCCGUCGCUCCUACUGAUUGAGUGUCUCGGUGACUUCUUUGAUCUUCUGUCGAUUCAGUUCACUGAUCCGACGGUGGAAAGUUGAAUGAACUUCGUCACUUAGAGGAAGGAGAAGUCGUAACA
rnacentral:rRNA from 1 species